AUGCUAGGAGUGUUAGACACACAUGAGCUUUUGUUUCGCCACUGAACGACAUGAGAUGUUGAUCAGUCACAACAGCAAGCAAACUUGAUAUUUAGCAUGCCAGUGCCACUUGCAGAAGCAUGCAGCAACACUGCUCCUGAUAACAAGAGCAGCAGAAAAUGAAAGUAGAAGCACUGAAGCAGACAUGCUCUCAGGCAUAUCCCAAGAGCGCAAUGCACGUUCAAGAGGCCAUUGGUUCACGGGAGUUCUGC
rnacentral:misc_RNA from 1 species